AUGCGCAGCCCUCGGGCCGGCCCGGGCGCACCUUUUCUGUCUCCUGCCACAUUGUGAGCGCUCCGCCGCCCAGAUAACCGCCGGCUCCCCGCGCCGCCCCCGCCUUCUCCCACUCCGCCCACUGCCGGGAGCCCAGGGGAUGAUGCAGCAAGAAGACCCACACCAGAUGAGGGCGCCUUGAUAUUGGAUUUCCCAGCCUCCAGAACUAAGCCUGGGACUUGCCUCUGUGAUCUGGUGCUUUGGAGGGCCUUGGGCCUCAGGGCUAGCAAGGUCCCUUUCUGGAGAUUCCAGUUCCUCUGCCCGCCCUCCUUUACCUCUUUCUCCUCACACAUCUGUCUGAGGGAUGGGGAUGAGGGCUGCCAACCAAUGUUACCACUUGACAGACCACAAGAGGGCUGGUUCCAGUGCCUCCCUUGUUCAGCUGCUGACACUGCAGCUUGGCAGUCAUUGAAGGCAAUAUUUAGCUCCUACAUCUGACCUGAUUGGAAGAUCAGGCUUCUGUCGUCCUGGUUUCCUGGCCUUGGAUAGUUCUUCACUAACUUUUAUUCAUUAAGGCAGUGGGCAGAAAGCAGCAGAACCCUGUUUUUUCUUUUUUUGGGGUUUUUGUUGUUGUUGUUGUUGUUGUUUUGUUUUUUUUUGAAACAGGGUCUCCCUCUGUCACCCAUGCUGGAGUGCAGAGGUUCUGUCAUAACUCACUAUAGCCUCGACCUCCUGGGCUCAAGCAAUCUUCCCACCUCAGCCUCCUGAGUAGCUAGGGACCACAGGUGCAUGCCACUAUGCCUAACUAAUUUUUGUAUUUUUUUGUAGAGAUGGGGUUUUGCCAUGUUGCCCAUGCUGGUUUUGAACUCUAGAACUCAAGCAAUCAGCUGGCCUCAGCCUCCCAAAGUACUGAGAUUACAGGUGUGAGCCACUGUGCCUGGCCAGAACCUGUUUUUUGUUUGUUUGUUUUUGUUUUGUUUGUUUGAGGCGGAGUUUUGCUCUUGUUGCCCAGGCUGGAAUGCAAUGGCGCGAUCUCGGCUCACCGCAACCUCUGCCUCCUGGAUUCAAACAAUUCUCCUGCCUCAGCCUCCCAACCAGCUGGGAUUACAGGCAUGCGCCACCACGCCCAGCUAAUUUUGUAUUUUUAGUAGAGAUGGGAUUUCACCAUGUAGGUCAGGCUGGUCUCGAACUCCCAACCUCAGGUGAUCUGCCCGCCUCGGCCUCCCCAAGUGCUGGGAUUACAGACGUGAGCCACCGCGCCCAGCCCAGAACCUGUUUUUUAAUUUAAAAUUCUUAUUUAAAAGUUCUGUACAUUUUGAGAAUUCUUAAAACCUUCACACAUUUAAUUUAAAUAGCAGCAGAGAUAUCUGGUUCCUGGUAAUGUGAACAGGAUGGCUUGAUACAAGCUCCCUGCUCACUGCAUUUCCUCACUUCCUAAAUUCCUAGGGAUGUACCUCCAGUGAAUAAUAGUUUUUACCACCUGUACAUAUACAGGGUCAGCGGCCAUGGCUCCUUGCUCACCCAUUAACUAAGAUCACAUCCUACAUACAGUACCAGACUUAGAGCCAGAGCCCUGGUCAUGGCCUCCUAGGUUCUCACACUUGACUUUUACUCAAUCAUUUCACCAUUUAGGCUUUAUAAAAAGGGGAGACUGGCCGGGCGCGGCGGCUCAUGCCUGUAAUCCCAGCACUUUGAGAGGCUGAGGGAGGUGGAUGACCUGAGGUCAGGAGUUUGAGACCACCCAACAUGGUGAAACCCUGUCUCUACUAAAAAUACAAAAAUUAGCCAGGUAUAGUGGCACAUGCCUGUAGUCCCAGCUACUCUGAGGCAGCUGAGGCAGGAGAAUCGCUUGAACCUGGGAGGCGGAGGUUGCAGUGAGCCGAGAUCAUGCCACUGUACUCCAGCCUGGGUGACACAGUGAAACUCCAUCUCAAAUAAAUAAAUAAAUAAAAUGGGGGAAUUAUAUGACUGUUAGGGUCCUCCAGAUCUGAUACCCAGGACUGUAAUCUAAAGACUUGAUUAUGUUCAUUAAUACAUGGCAAUUUCAUUCCUUUCCUAAGAAUUACUAUCCAAAGAUCAUCCCUAAGCCCUUCCUACAAGAAACUGCCCCUUUUACAGAAUGAAUA
ensembl:lncRNA ZNF652-AS1 ZNF652 antisense RNA 1